UUCGGAUCGCGGCGACGCCGGCGGUUCGCCGCCGGUGACGACGUGAGAAGUUCAUUAAACCUUAUCAUUUAGAGGAAGGAGAAGUCGUAACAAGGUUUCCGUAGGUGAACCUGCGGAAGGAUCAUUG
rnacentral:rRNA from 2 species